rnacentral:tRNA from 1 species
UGACUGAUGUUCUAGUGCUUGAGAUUCUGCGCUCUCAAUGCAGUGGCCCAGGUUCACUUCCUGGUCAGAGAA